GGCUCUCUUGAUCUGACCCCUCGGUCACCACGAGGACUGCAGCUGCUGGAAAGCAUUGUUUCUUUGCUUGACUCAGUGGUGCUUUGUUCUCCAAAAACAGAAGGAAAGCAAUUAAAGCUCCAGAGCUUUCCAUGGCACUGGGUUGAUGCUGGCCUGCAGCAGACCCCUUUGUCCAGCUCCUUCCCUUUCUUUUCCUGCUUCUCUUGCUCCCGUGAGAGCCUUCCCUCAGCAAACCAUUGCCCAAGGGCACCCAUCUAGGGCUCUGCUGCUAGAAAAAUUGUCCCAAGGCAGUUAGUUGUUAUCUUCUUUGCUGAUCAGAAAAUAGGCAAUCAGUUUAGGUAAAUGGCUUUUCCACAGUCAUACAAGUAGACAGUAGUAGAAUAGGUCCUCUGCUUAUCAUACAAGUAGACAGUGGUAAAAUAGGUCCUCUGCUUAUCCGUCAAGUUCUGCUUUCAAUCCUCUGCCAUGCCCGUCACAAUCCAUUACAUGGGCUGCUCCCUGUAAGGCAGCCAGUGGCUCUGGGCUUAAUCCAAGGGAGCUGGGUUCUGAGCAGGCCAGACCCCAAUACAUGCAGGGUCCAGACCAAGAGCACAAAUGGAAACCCACAUGCAUGAGUCCAAAUAUUUUAAAAGUAUAAAUAAAGCAAACAAAUUACUAAAUAAAAUAUAUUCUACCUUCUCGCCUGCUUAAAUAUACCUUUACAAAAAUCUGAAAAGCCAGGUUUAAUUUAGAAUUCUCAGACUCCUUGGAGUUCCACAGCAAAAGGGAUGGAGUGGGGCAAGCUGGCUCAGCUCCCCACCAUUUCCCACACUGGCUCUGGUCCUGUCCUACAAUGUGAAGGACUUGUGUACACAUACUGACAUUCUAAAUGUUCACACCUGCCAAUGGCAGCCAUACCUUGGUCACACCUUCGCAUCAGAAUGCACACAAAAGUGGAUAUGGCCACUGAGCAGAGAAUUCUAGGGUUCUGGGUACCUGAAAUGUAUGUACAGACUCCAGGUGGGCAGUUCCCUUGGGAUCACGGAUUUCAUGACUUGUAGUCUGGGACAGUCAUAGCUGGAGGGUCCUCUAGAUCAUGGAUCCCAGGACAGGGCUUCCUUUGCCCCCAGCCAAGGUUAUACUGCUCCUCUAGCUACAUCAUUGUGGCCAAGUCACCCUCCUUGGUGGUCAGUUUCCACAUCUGUAAGCGAGGGCAUCGGAUUAUACAAGCUCAAGGUCCUUUCUUGCCAUGAAGGAAUGUGAUUCUGUUGCCUUGUCCGGACAUGAGACUGGCCAUUUAAGAAGAGCAAUCAUUCCCUAAACAAACUUGUAUAAACAAAAGCAAUGGGGGAAUGUCUUAUAGUCAGUAAGUAGAUGACUUAGAGGAGAGCCACCAAGCCGUGAACUUCCUGUGGAAUCAGCCCAGCAUCUUUCAGAAAAUUACUUUAAAAUGUUUAGAAUAAUGACAGAAAGAGCAGCCAUGAGGUCAGUGCAAGUUCCAAGUGGGGUGGUUCUUAAUUCUCUUCCACUUGUUGAGAUUUGUUUUAUGGCCCAGGACAUAGCUCAUCUUGGAAUAUGUUCCAUGAGCUCUUGAAAAGAAUGUGUAUUCUGCUGCUGUUGUGUGGAAUAUUCCAUAAAUGUUGAUUCAAUCCUAUUGAUUGAUGGUAUUGUUAAAUUAUUCUAUGUACUUGUUGAUUUUCUGUUUAGUUGGUUUAUCGGUUGUAGAGAUAAGAGUGUUAAAGUCUUCAGCUAUAAUUGUGGACUUGUGUUUUUCUCCUUUCAUUUCUAACAGGUUUUGCUUUGCAUAUUUUGUAGCUUUGUUGUUUGGUACAUACACACCUAGGAUUACUACAUUUUAUGUGAAGAGUUGCUUUUUUAUCAUUAUGCAAAGUUCCUCUCUGUCUCUAGACUAGUUUACUCCUACUUUUCUUUGAUUACUGCUUGAAUAAUAUAUCUUUUUUAAAUUCUUUUACUUUCAACUUGCCUAUAUUGUUAUAUUUGAAGUGAGAUUCUUUUAGAAAGCAUGCAUUUAUGUAACUUUAAAAAAUCCUGGCUAUCAUUUUAUGUCUUUUAGUUAUGUCUUUUAUAUUUAGACCAUUUACAUUUAGUGUAAUUAUUAAUAUUAGGGGCUUAAACUUGACAUUUUAAUUUCUGCUUUUUGUUUGUUCUUUUUUGUUUGUUUUCUUUUUCAUGUUUUCCUGUGGGUUACUUAUACAUUUUUGGGGUGCCAUUUUAUCUAUUUAUCUGUAGUAUGUCUGAGAGUAUCUCUUUGUAUAACAUUUUUAGUGGUUGUUCUAAGUAUUGUAUUUAUUACAACGUAUGUACACAUCUUAUUUAGUCUAAUAGUGUCAUUGAGUGAAAUAAUAUGAUGUAUCCAUGUGAAUGAAGUGUAAAAAU
rnacentral:lncRNA from 10 species